CUGCUUCCGGGUCGGAGCCAUGGCGGUGGCAAAUUCAAGUCCUGUCAACCCCGUGGUGUUCUUUGAUGUCAGCAUUGGCGGCCAGGAAGUUGGCCGUAUGAAGAUCGAGCUCUUUGCAGACGUUGUGCCCAAGACAGCCGAGAACUUUAGGCAGUUCUGCACUGGAGAAUUCAGAAAAGAUGGAGUUCCUAUAGGAUACAAAGGAAGCACUUUCCACAGGGUCAUAAAGGAUUUCAUGAUUCAGGGUGGAGAUUUUGUCAACGGAGAUGGUACUGGAGUUGCCAGUAUUUACCGGGGGCCAUUUGCAGAUGAAAAUUUUAAACUUAGACACUCAGCUCCAGGCCUGCUUUCCAUGGCAAACAGUGGUCCCAGUACAAACGGCUGCCAGUUCUUCAUCACCUGCUCUAAAUGUGAUUGGCUGGAUGGGAAGCACGUAGUGUUUGGAAAAAUCAUUGAUGGACUUCUAGUGAUGAGAAAGAUUGAGAAUGUUCCCACAGGCCCCAACAAUAAGCCCAAGCUGCCUGUGGUGAUCUCACAGUGUGGGGAGAUGUAGCCCAGAGCAAGACAGAAUUGGACUUCCUCAUCUGUUCAAGUAAAAUGACCUCAUUAAAAUACAACAGCAACAUAAUAUUAGAACCUACUCUUUGUUGUACAGCUCCACAGAGUGCCAGAGGCUGGCAAAAGAUGCAUGCUGCGGUGCCAGUACCUCAGGAAGCCCCAUCACUGU